CCUACGGGUGGCAGCAGUGGGGAAUAUUGCACAAUGGGGGAAACCCUGAUGCAGCGACGCCGCGUGAGCGAUGAAGUAUUUCGGUAUGUAAAGCUCUAUCAGCAGGGAAGAAAAUGACGGUACCUGACUAAGACGCCCCGGCUAACUACGUGCCAGCAGCCGCGGUACUACGUAGGGGGCAAGCGUUAUCCGGAUUUACUGGGUGUAAAGGGAGCGUAGACGGCGAUGCAAGUCUGAAGUGAAAGGCGGGGGCCCAACCCCCGGACUGCUUUGGAAACUGUAUGGCUGGAGUGCAGGAGAGGUAAGUGGAAUUCCUAGUGUAGCGGUGAAAUGCGUAGAUAUUAGGAGGAACACCAGUGGCGAAGGCGGCUUACUGGACUGUAACUGACGUUGAGGCUCGAAAGCGUGGGGAGCAAACAGGAUUAGAUACCCCUGUAGUC
rnacentral:rRNA from 1 species